rnacentral:misc_RNA from 1 species
AACGCACAUUGCGCCCUCUGGUAUUCCGGGGGGCAUGCCUGUUCGAGCGUCAUUAUGACCAAUCACGCAAGUGGUAUUGGGGCUUGCCAGCUUUCGGCAUCCCUUAAAAACAGUGGCGGUGCCAUAGGCUCUCAGCGUAGUAAUUAUUCCGCUCUUGAGUCCUGGACGUACUUGCCAAAACCCCAACUUUCUUAAGGUUGACCUCGGAUCAGGUAGGGAUACCCGCUGAACUUAA